rnacentral:rRNA from 1 species
AUUGAACGCUGGCGGCAUGCCUUACACAUGCCAGUCGAACGGCAGCACGGGUGCUUGCACCUGGUGGCGAGUGGCGAACGGGUGAGUAAUACAUCGGAACAUGUCCUGUAGUGGGGGAUAGCCCGGCGAAAGCCGGAUUAAUACCGCAUACGAUCUACGGAUGAAAGCGGGGGACCUUCGGGCCUCGCGCUAUAGGGUUGGCCGAUGGCUGAUUAGCUAGGUGGUGGGGGAAAGGCCUACCAAGGCGACGAUCAGUAUCUGGUCUGAGAGGACGACCAGCCACACUGGAACUGAGACACGGCCCAGACUCCUACGGGAGGCAGCAGUGGGGAAUUUUGGACAAUGGGCGAAAGCCUGAUCCAGCAAUGCCGCGUGUGUGAAGAAGGCCUUCGGGUUGUAAAGCACUUUUGUCCGGAAAGAAAUCCUUGGAUCUAAUACAGUCGGGGGAUGACGUUACCGGAAGAAUAAGCACCGGCUAACUACGUG